GGGCACAUGGUGUAGUUGGUUAUCACAUCCGCUUAGCACAGUAUAACGUGGUAUGCGGGGGGUGCUGGGUUCAAUUCCCAGUGUGUCCA